rnacentral:rRNA from 1 species
GGCCAGACUCCUACGGGAGGCAGCAGUGAGGAAUAUUGGUCAAUGGGCGCGAGCCUGAACCAGCCAAGUCGCGUGAGGGAUGACGGUCCUACGGAUUGUAAACCUCUUUUGCCGGGGAGCAAGCGUGCGUUCGUGAACGCGCGUCGAGAGUACCCGGAGAAAAAGCAUCGGCUAACUCCGUGCCAGCAGCCGCGGUAAUACGGAGGAUGCGAGCGUUAUCCGGAUUUAUUGGGUUUAAAGGGUGCGUAGGCGGGCUUUUAAGUCAGCGGUAAAAAUUCGGGGCUCAACCCCGUCCGGCCGUUGAAACUGGGGGACUUGAGUGGGCGAGAAGAAGGCGGAAUGCGUGGUGUAGCGGUGAAAUGCAUAGAUAUCACGCAGAACUCCGAUUGCGAAGGCAGCAUACCGGCGCCCAACUGACGCUGAAGCACGAAAGCGUGGGUAUCGAACAGGAUUAGAUACCCGAGUAUG